rnacentral:misc_RNA from 1 species
GGAAGUAAAGUCGUAACAAGGUCUCCGUUGGUGAACCAGCGGAGGGAUCAUUACCGAGUUUACAACUCCCAAACCCAUUGUGAACCAUACCAAACUGUUGCCUCGGCGGGGUCACGCCCCGGGUGCGUCGCAGCCCCGGAACCAGGCGCCCGCCGGAGGGACCAACCAAACUCUUUCUGUAGUCCCCUCGCGGACGUUAUUUUUACAGCUCUGAGCAAAAAUUCAAAAUGAAUCAAAACUUUCAACAACGGAUCUCUUGGUUCUG